ensembl:rRNA 5S_rRNA 5S ribosomal RNA
AUCUACGGCCACGCUACCCUGAACGAGCCCUAUCUGGUCUGAUCUCGGAAGCUAAGGAGAGGCAGGCCUGGUUAGUACUUGGAUGUGAAACCACCUAGGAAGACCAGGUACUGUAAGCA